rnacentral:rRNA from 1 species
GACGAACGCUGGCGGCGUGCCUAAUACAUGCAAGUUGAGCGCUGAAGGUUGGUACUUGUACCAACUGGAUGAGCAGCGAACGGGUGAGUAACGCGUGGGGAAUCUGCCUUUGAGCGGGGGACAACAUUUGGAAACGAAUGCUAAUACCGCAUAAAAACUUUAAACACAAGUUUUAAGUUUGAAAGAUGCAAUUGCAUCACUCAAAGAUGAUCCCGCGUUGUAUUAGCUAGUUGGUGAGGUAAAGGCUCACCAAGGCGAUGAUACAUAGCCGACCUGAGAGGGUGAUCGGCCACAUUGGGACUGAGACACGGCCCAAACUCCUACGGGAGGCAGCAGUAGGGAAUCUUCGGCAAUGGACGAAAGACUGACCGAGCAACGCCGCGUGAGUGAAGAAGGUUGUCGGAUCGUAAAACUCUGUUGGUAGAGAAGAACGUUGGUGAGAGUGGAAAGCUCAUCAAGUGACGGUAACUACCCAGAAAGGGACGGCUAACUACGUG